CAGACUGACAGGUACAGACAGACAGACAGAUAGACAGACAGAUUUAUUUCGUAGAGUGGCCAUGAGGCCAAAAGUACAGUGACAUUUUUACAUCAUAAUCUUUGGAGCGCUGGCAUGAGAAGUACACUGGCAUUUAUAAGUAUCAUAAAACGUUAUGGAUUUUGUGUACAAAUAUGGCUAGGCGCAAAAUAACAUUUGCAUUUUGGGUAUUAAGUAAAUUUACAAACUUGUGUAUGUUGGGAUUUACACAAUAAUAUUGUG